GGACUGGCCUAGGGAGAGCGGCAACGUUCACCCAGGGCCGGAAAGUUGUCCAAACUUGGUCAUUUAGAGGAAGUAAAAGUCGUAACAAGGUCUCCGUAGGUGAACCUGCGGAGGGAUCAUUA
rnacentral:rRNA from 1 species